rnacentral:misc_RNA from 1 species
UGGGCGCAGCAGUGGGGGAAUUUUGGACAAUGGAAACCCUGAUCCAGCCAUCCCGCGUGUACGAUGAAGACACUUCAGUUAUAAAAACACCUUUUAGCGGAAAGAAACAGCACAGGAUAAUACCUGCAACUGACGGUACCUGCAGAAUAAGCACCGGCUAACUACGUGCCAGCAGCCAUGAUAAUACGUAGGGUCUGAAGACCAAUCAGGUACUGGGCGUAAAGCGUGCGCAGGCGGUUCAAGGAAAGAAAGAUGUGAAAUCCCAGAGCUUAACUUUGGAACUGCAUUUUUAACUACCGAGCUAGAGUGUGUCAGAGGGAGGUGGAAUUCCGCGUGCUAGCAGUGAAAUGCACGUAGAUGUGCGGAGGAACACCGACGGCGAAACAACCUCUGGAUGUUACCCGACGCUCACGAAAAGCGUGGGAGCAAACAGGAUUAGAUGCACCUGGUAGU